AGCCAUUCUUUCCUGGAGACAGAAGAAACAUUUAACAAGGAUAUUUACAGACUGGAGAGAUGGAGUACCUGUAGAAACGUCGGACUAGUCAGUGUCUGCUAUCAAUGUAGGGAAAGAAGAGAGCUGUGCUCCUGUCAGGAUGAAAAAAUAAGGAAAUCAUCUGCAACAUUAUGUGCCAACCCUUCAAUGGAAGCUGUUUGGACAGUGGGCCAAAGCACAUGAUUAACAUUAGAGGUACGUACGUCCUGGGUAUCUACAUUUGAGGCCAUUUGAUCCCUGGAAGGACUGUGCACCUCAGAGGCACAGAGCAGAGGAAAGGGUCUGCCGGACAAGCAGUUGGAACGUGUGAACCAACAGGUGCCGCGAAAAGACUCACGCCUCCCUCGAUCUACGUGCUGUUUUUGUUCUCCUAUACAGUCCGUUCCGUGACUCUGGGAGA